GAGCUCUACCUUCAGCAGCACCUAUACUAAAAUUGAAAUGAUACAAGAAGAUUAGCAUGGCCACUGCACAAAGAUGACACACAAAUUUUGAAGCAUUCCAUUUUAAA
ensembl:snRNA U6 U6 spliceosomal RNA